rnacentral:rRNA from 1 species
CGGGGUGCACCAGGCGCGAAAACUUUACAAUGCCGGCAACGGCGAUAAGGGAACCUCGAGUGCCAGGUUACAAAUCUGGCCGUCGUGAUGCCUAAAAAGCAUUGCAUAGCAAGGGCCGGGCAAGACCGGUGCCAGCCGCCGCGGUAACACCGGCGGCUCGAGUGGUAACCGUUAUUAUUGGGUCUAAAGGGUCUGUAGCCGGCCGGAUAAGUCUCUUGGGAAAUCUGGCAGCUUAACUGUCAGGCUUUCAGGAGAUACUGUCUGGCUCGAGGCCGGGAGAGGUGAGAGGUACUUCAGGGGUAGGGGUGAAAUCUUGUAAUCCUUGAAGGACCACCAGUGGCGAAGGCGUCUCACCAGAACGGACCUGACGGCAAGGGACGAAAGCUAGGGGCACGAACCGGAUUAGAUACCCGGGUAGUCCUAGCCGUAAACGAUACUCGCUAGGUGUCGGCCACGGUGCGACCGUGGUCGGUGCCGUAGGGAAGCCGUGAAGCGAGCCACCUGGGAAGUACGGCCGCAAGGCUGAAACUUAAAGGAAUUGGCGGGGGAGCACAAGGGCGAAUCGCG